rnacentral:lncRNA from 1 species
CCACACAGAGCCUGGGAGGUGGAUUAUAUAGACCUCUGAUGACUUCCAUCUUCAUCUCUAAUCAGGACCACUCCAGAUUUUCCUGGCUGAUCUUUCAUCCUCUCCAAGAUCACUACCUUAAUAACAUCCAGUGCCUCACCAUCACCUCAGCUUAGAGUAAGAUUGUGCCUGUCUCAUAAAUGUCACCCUCACUCCCCAUGUUGCUGGGUGAUGGAGGCUGGGAAUUGGAUUCUUUUAGAUUUUCCUCUUUUCCUAACUGCUGACAUGCAGUCUCCAUCCUGUCUGUUGUUUCUGCAUAAUGGUCUGUGCAGGUUACAGAGCCCAGGCCAAGUGUCAAACUCCACUGAGGACGGUCACCCGCCAACCUGCCCUACCCAGGAGUCAUGCAGAGCAUGCUUUGCCUCACAGUUGGAGCCUUUGCCAAACUCCUUCAUGAACGUGGUCUGGACCUGUGGACACCUCUCACUGCCUCUCUAGAAGGUGUAGGGGUACUUUCAUUUGUUUCCUUAUGUUAACGAGAAAGUAAAUGUUUCCAAACUUGGAUACUUGGGACAAGUAUUGUCAAGAAGAAAGCAUUCUAGAAGAGUAAGGAAUGGAGAGAGAACCUCAGCAGGCAAUGCAGGUUCAACCAAGGGUCAACAACAGAGCGACCUGAGCAGAUUUAUGUUUUGGAAAGAAGCUCACAGCAAACACAAGAGGGAGGAAGGUUAGAGGGUUCUGAGACCACGACUAAGGAGCCCAAGGGCUGAACAGAAGGCUGCCACAUUUCUAAGGGGAUGAACAGAGGGGCACGAGAGCCAGGCCUCUACAGGAUGGGAUGGCACGUUGACGUGGUGGUCAGGGCGUCAAGGGGGAGGGUUCUGUUCUGGGGACAGCGUGGACAGUGGUACCCUUUAUCAUGGAGGCGUGAUCUGGAGAGAGAGCCUGGCUGCAGUCACCCUACCUUCUAACAGGCUCCAACUCAUUCAGGAAUCUGAAGCCUUAGCCUGAUGUGGUGCCCCAGGCCUUUCCCACAGUCUUCAGAAUCUCACCUGGCCAGCGGGGGCUGACUCGCCAGAUCCUGAGGGUGAAGUCAGGAGGGAGAUAUAAUCCAUAUAAGGCCACUCCAAGGACAUUCUCCUGCUGUCCAGGCAGCAAUCGCAUCAUUCCAAAUGGAAAGGAGUGGCCACAUGUGUCUGUUUAUUCAUUGACUGCAUUUCACUCCUGGCCCCAGUGAAGACCCACCACCCAGCACCUGUGGCCACUAGACACCACGGCCUUCUGGCUGCUUCCCUGGACAGGAGUUUUAAGGUACAGAGGACUCCGUACCUUAAAGUACACCUUAAGGUACAACAGCCAUGGGGUCAGCUCAUUCAUGGGUGGGGAAUGUGGGUGAGGGUCAUGAUGUAUCCUGGGGGCCCAGGGGAAUUUUCUUUUCAAAUAGGAC